rnacentral:piRNA from 1 species
UGCACAGGGAACUUCAUGAUCUCGGCCCAAA